rnacentral:rRNA from 1 species
UACGUAGGUGGCAAGCGUUGUCCGGAUUUAUUGGGUUUAAAGGGUGCGUAGGCGGCUUAUUAAGUCAGUGGUGAAAUACUCUAGCUCAACUAGAGGGGUGCCAUUGAUACUGAUGAGCUUGAGUACAGAUGAGGUAGGCGGAAUUGACGGUGUAGCGGUGAAAUGCUUAGAUAUCGUCAAGAACACCUAUAGCGGAGGCAGCUUACUAGGCUGUAACUGACGGCUGAGGCACGAAAGUGUGGGGGAUCAAACAGG